rnacentral:rRNA from 1 species
CGUAGGCGGCCUGCUAAGUCACACGUGAAAUCCCUCGGCUCAACCGGGGAACUGCGUGUGAUACUGGCGGGCUUGAAUUCGGGAGAGGGAUGUGGAAUUCCAGGUGUAGCGGUGAAAUGCGUAGAUAUCUGGAGGAACACCGGUGGCGAAGGCGACAUCCUGGACCGGUAUUGACGCUGAGGCGCGAAAGCCAGGGGAGCAAACG